AAUGGGAGCAAUCCUGAUCCAGCAAUGCCGCGUGAAUGAUGAAGGCCUUCGGGUCGUAAAGUUCUUUUAGUGGGGACAAAACAAAUGAUGGUACCCACAGAAAAAGCACCGGCUAACUCCGUGCCAGCAGCCGCGGUAAUACGGAGGGUGCAAGCGUUGCUCGGAAUCAUNGGGCGUAAAGCGCGUGUAGGCGGCUUUCUAAGUCUGAUGUGAAAUCCCAGGGCUCAACCCUGGAACUGCAUCGGAUACUGGAAAGCUAGAGGGUGAGAGAGGAUGGUGGAAUUCCUGGUGUAGGGGUGAAAUCCGUAGAUAUCAGGAGGAACAUCGGUGGCGAAGGCGGCCAUCUGGCUCACAUCUGACGCUGAGACGCGAAAGCGUGGGGAGCAAA
rnacentral:rRNA from 1 species